rnacentral:lncRNA from 1 species
UCAAAUUGAAAUGACUUGAUUAGUUUUAUGUGUUAAUUAGAUAUGAUAAUAGGAUUUUUAUUAAUCAAGUUGUUAUGUCAAUAUGUCAAGUAGGAUUAAGUAUAUAAAUGCUUUGGUUGAAAUUCUGGAAUUGGGUUGGUUAUGUUUGAAAUUUUGCAGGGGGUUAUAUGUAAAAAUAAGCAGUAAUGCUGCCGAAAUUUUUAUUAAAAAAAACGAAUGAAAUCAAUUAGUAAAAUUUAUAUGAAUUUAUGAAUUAUUUUAAUAUGUUGAUUAUUUAUUUAAGAAUCAUUUGUAAAUUGUUUGAUAGGUUCGGUAAUGCCUCAUAACCCUGUUUCGGCGACGGUUUGAG